rnacentral:rRNA from 1 species
GUGAGGAAUAUUGGUCAAUGGGCGAUGGCCUGAACCAGCCAAGUAGCGUGAAGGAUGACUGCCCUAUGGGUUGUAAACUUCUUUUAUAAAGGAAUAAAGUCGGGUAUGCAUACCCGUUUGCAUGUACUUUAUGAAUAAGGAUCGGCUAACUCCGUGCCAGCAGCCGCGGUAAUACGGAGGAUCCGAGCGUUAUCCGGAUUUAUUGGGUUUAAAGGGAGCGUAGAUGGAUGUUUAAGUCAGUUGUGAAAGUUUGCGGCUCAACCGUAAAAUUGCAGUUGAUACUGGAUGUCUUGAGUGCAGUGGAGGCAGGCGGAAUUCGUGGUGUAGCGGUGAAAUGCUUAGAUAUCACGAAGAACUCCGAUUGCGAAGGCAGCCUGCUAAGCUGCAACUGACAUUGAGGCUCGAAAGUGUGGGUAUCAAACAGGAUUAGAAACCCGGGUAGUCC